GAACUUCUCUUCUAAUGUCAUAAUCUAUCAAACUCUCCCAAAAAUUAAUAGGCAUCCUUCCAAUUUCCAUAAGAUUCUUGUCCAAUGCCUAGAUUUAUCAUCCCUCAAUGUUGCAGCAUGGUUCAUUUCUACUAUCAAGUGCAUAAUUUCUACCAAGUUGGACGUCACACCACCACAAGUCUUAUCACAGUCGUUGCUUCCAUUUUGGCCCACCAACAUUAACAUGCUAUGGGUAUAUACCAUGUUCGACACUCCAACACGCUCCCCUCCGCUUCCUACACAUGUUGACCCGCUACCAUCGCAAGCCACCACAAUUACCAUGUUUGAGUAAUAUCCAUCGUUGAUCCGUCGCUAAUCCCUUGCUAAAGUCAUAGGUAAGGUGCCAGUAAAUUCAUUACUCAUGUCAUAUUUUUAAUUUUUCGACAAAGUAUCACCAAUUGAUCACCGACAACUCACUUUCACCAAGAGAUUUCCGAUGUAUACAUCAAUAGUUGAAAGCCCUCAAAAGAAUAUAGUAGAAGUUCAUGCAAUAAUAAUUAGUGUUUUUUGACACAUUUAAGCAUCUUUGAUUGCUUUAUCAAAAAAAAAAAAAAAAAAAUCUCUCAAUUAAGAAAUAAAUAAAGUUCAUUGUUAGCGUGUGGUAAUAAUAUUAGGAACAUAAUUUGUUAUAAUUAGGUUAUAGAAAUUGACAUUUGAAAGCGACAUGGGGGAAAAAUGAUGUUUGUGGCAUAAGUCGAAAAUGGUUGCAAGAAUUCUAUAAACUACUCAUCAUGAGACCCCCAUUAUUUCAAAUCCCACCCAUUCACAAGGUCCUUAUUACUUCUUUCUAGAAGUCCAGUUGUGGAUGUUUAACUUAACUUUAGAUUUAUCGCACGUUUGAGGCCACUUAACUUUAGAUUUAUCGCACGUUUGAGGCCAGUUUAACUAUUAAUGAUGAAAUACCGAUGUAAGUUAUCGUACUUAUGUACAUACAGAGAUACACUUCGGGAUAAUGUACACACAUAAACAAGUAUAUGGGGUGCAUACACACAUAAAUGAAUGAGAAAAGUGUCCGAAUAGUCUUUGUGGUUUAUUCCGUUUUCAACUAUAGUUCCUACACUUCUAAAAUCAUAGCUAUAGUCCCUAAAGCGUCUUCACAACCACAGCCACUAAGACCAUGUGUAGUGGUUUAGCUCAAUAAUGCCCCCAGCAUGGGGCGUUUUGCGACACGUGGAAGUCCAGUCAACAUGGGGGAUUAUUGGGGGUUAUUGCAAAAGUGGCGUAGUGGGAAUAAUGCCCAAAAACGCCCCUUCCAUUAAUUACACAAUAAUUUUUUUUUAAUUAAAUAAUGCAAAAGUUUCCCAUUGGUCAGUCAACCCUUCCACAAUCCCUUUUACGCGUUUUUUUAAACACGCCAAUCCAAUUUUUUUUUCAAAAAUAAUGCCCAAAAACGCCCUAUGUAAUGGGGGUGCGGUUUUUUUGAAAAUAAUGCCCCAUUACGGAUGGUCUAAUCAUGAACAGAUCUCAAACAAAUUGAAACAAGCCUACAACUCUUCACUUGUAACCAAAUCGGAAUAACCAAAUCAACACCACUGAUCUCCGGCGACAUCGUCUUCACCACCACCGCCAUUAGUCUCGUGCAACACAUCUCCUCCUCCAUCAAUGCACCACAGCAAGUCCCCUGAAUCGGUUGGAAUAACCAAAUCGGCGACCACUUAUCGCCGGAAAAGCUUUUUAGCUGUCGGAGUGUGUGAGUUACAGGUGAAGGGUUGUUUCAGAUCGGUUUGUUUGAGAAUGUGUAUGGGUUGAAGGCUAGUGAUGAGAACAAGGUGAAGGUGUAUGGUAAGGAUUUUAUCGGGUGGGCGAAACCGGAGGUUGCGGAUUAGUUUGGGGGGAAGAAGAUGGUGAGGUGUGGAGGACACCGGUUAGGGAUGGUGGUGGGAAUGAAUGUUGGAGUCGUUUGAAGGCGAUGCAAAUGAUGGUGGGAUACAAAGUGUGGCAUUAGGCUGCAAAUGUGUAGGUUGUGAAGAAAUUUAGCCUUGAGAUUAAUGGAAAAGGUGUUUAUGUUAAGUUUGAUAACAAUUGUGGUGAUUUACGGUGAUGAUCUUUGUCGGAGGAGAUGGUGGUGAUUUACGAUGGCCGCGGUGGUGGACGGUGGUGUUAAGUUUUGGGUGGCGGUUUUAGAGUUGGGGUGAAGGAGAUGAAGAAGGGGAAAGUGGGUCUAAUUUUUAUAUUUAAAUAAUAGUGGUGGGCUCCAUUUAUCUUUAUAAAUGAUUAAUUAAUAUUUUAUUUUUUAAUGAAGGGUAAAUUUUGUCAAUCACACCAACUUAAUUGAGAAAACUAACCCUCAUCAGCGUCAGGGACUAUCCGACAACGAAAGUGCAAAAGUUAGGGACUAUAGCUGUAAUUUUAGAAGUGUAGGGAUUAUAGGUGAAAACGAAGCAAACCAUUGGGACUAUCCGGACACUUUUCUCUAAAUGAAUAUUGAUUAAUAUAAUACUUGGCUAAAUUGCACUUUUCUCUAAGCCCCAUACCCUAUUGGCUUGUGAUGGCGUGGGGCUAGGGACUAUUCGAACACUGCCACCACCACAUCACAACCUAUCACCACCACCCCGUGAUAACCUAUCACCGCCACCACCACAUCACAACCUAUCACCAGCACCCCGUCAUAACCUAUCACCGCCACACCACACCACACUACACCACAUCACAAUUUAUCACCAUGACCACCCUAUCACAACCUAUCACCACCACCAUCAAAUUUGAGCACCAUCACCAUCAAAUCGAACACCACUAUCCCCACACUAUCACAAGCCAAUAGGGUAAAAUACCUUUUAAGUAAAUAGGGUAAAAGGAACAACUUGCCCUCGUGUGUGAUGUACAUGCUCAAACUUAACCCCAAAAUUUAACUUGGUUAAUUACUGCAAAAAGACACCGUUUGUUGACAAGUGUAAACUUAAAGGACAGUUAGCGUAGACAGUUAAAAAACACGGUCUGAUGAAAUGUUCGAACACAAUGAACGAAAAGUGCAAUUUAACGAUAAUACUU
rnacentral:lncRNA from 1 species